AACGAACGCUGGCGGCAUGCCUAACACAUGCAAGUCGAACGGGAUCCUAGCUUGCUAGGUGAGAGUGGCGGACGGGUGAGUAACACGUGGGAAUCUGCCUUUUGGUUCGGGAUAACCGCGGGAAACUGCGGCUAAUACCGAAUGCCCUCGAGAGAGGAAAGAUUUAUCGCCAGAAGAGGAGCCCGCGUCCGAUUAGGUAGUUGGUGGGGUAAAGGCCUACCAAGCCGACGAUCGGUAGCUGGUCUGAGAGGAUGAUCAGCCACACUGGGACUGAGAUACGGCCCAGACUCCUACGGGAGGCAGCAGUGGGGAAUAUUGGACAAUGGGGGCAACCCGUGAUCCAGCAAUGCCGCGUGAGUGAUGAAGGCC
rnacentral:rRNA from 1 species